CCCACUUUGGGUACACAGAUUUUAAUAAACAAACAAACAAACAAACCACUUCUGUCUCUGACUUGGCCUCUUUAUUUUUAUUUAAUUGGCAGGGGGGUGGAAGCUGGCACGCCUUCUUCAAACAAAAAGGAACCCUAAACAUAUAGAACCUGGACUCCUGAACAUCAUUUUAUAUGAUUACUGUCUUCUUCUGAGGCGUAAGACCUGGGUCAGAGCCCAAAGUCAGAAUUGAGGCCAAAAGGACAAUUUUGCUGAGGACUCUUGCUGCUGCUAAGGGCUGUCCAUCCAUAGAAGACUUCCCCUGCCAGCCCCGUCCUGAGGCAGCUGCUUCUGGUGGGCAGCUGCAGCAUGGUGCCUUUCGUGCACAUGGCUUGAGGAGGGAGCCAUGGAUCUGUGCUACCGGAAUGCUGUGGGAUUGUCUUCUGGCCAUCAAGCUAAGACCCAAUAAGGCCAGCAUCCCAAGCAGGAUUAGGGCUGAAUUCUAAUUCAGCCUUCUCUCUGGAAUUGCUCGCCCACCAACACAGAACUGGUAUAACUGGGCCACGCUGAAAGUCUGGCCUGCUCACCAGAUAUUGGCAGCAAGCCAUUCUCUAUGGAGAUGUUUGUUUGAUGUUCAAAACAUGCAAACUUAGCAUCUUUGGUCAAGGAGAACAAUAACCUUUUCUUAUUCAACAUAAACGAUGAUCCUUUUUUACAACAACAGCAAAAAAGUCCAUAAAAAACUCAGUUUGAAACCAGAUUUUUUCCCC